ACUUACACACUCCCCAGGUAGGGUGUGGCACCUGCCCUCUGGCCCCCUCCAUUGACUCCACCUCUGUCCCCAGGACACUCCAGGAGAUGGUGCAAUCACGUGGCCCUUGCAUGACGGCAUUCCUCCCUGGGUCUCUCCUGAAGCACAUUUUCUCAGGUGGCUGCAGGACACAGGAGUACAGAGAAGCUGGUGGCUUCUGCCAGGUCACUCUGCAACAGACACUCUAACUCGUGACUCAGCUCUGAAAAGGAUGUGGUUGGUGACAUUUCCUGUAUCUAGUGGUCACAAGCUCACAUGGCCUCCACUUUUGUGGCCUGGUGGCUGCAGAAACAGGGGCAACUGACUCCAUGGAUUAGACCAGCAGCCACACUCACCUGCAUGAGGUAACACUAACAGCACCAGUCUCAACCAGGGCAAAUGAGGACAUGAAAUGUAUUGGCCUUAGACAUUUCAGGAUUUUUGGAUCAUCUAUAACAAUUAGUGGCUCAGAUCAG